rnacentral:rRNA from 1 species
ACGGGUGAGGAAAACGUGGGAAUCUACCCUCAAGCGGGGGACAACCAAGGGAAACUUUGGCUAAUACCGCAUAAUCUCGAGAGAGCAAAGCUGCCGCAAGGUGGCACUUGAGGAGGAGCCUGCGUCCGAUUAGCUAGUUGGUGGGGUAAGAGCCUACCAAGGCGAUGAUCGGUAACUGGUCUGAGAGGACGACCAGUCACACUGGGACUGAGACACGGCCCAGACUCCUACGGGAGGCAGCAGUGGGGAAUAUUGGACAAUGGGGGCAACCCUGAUCCAGCGAUGCCGCGUGAGUGAAGAAGGCCUUCGGGUCGUAAAGCUCUUUAGGUUGGGAAGAAGGUUGUGUGGGGAUAAUCCAUGCAAUUUGACGGUACCGACAGAAUAAGCACCGGCAAACUCUGUGCCAGCAGCCGCGGUAAUACAGAGGGUGCAAGCGUUAAUCGGAAUUACUGGGCGUAAAGGGCGCGUAGGCGGUGAGAUGUGUGUGAUGUGAAAGCCCCGGGCUUAACCUGGGAAGUGCAUCGCAAACUAUCUGACUGGAGUAGAUGAGAGGGUGGCGGAAUUUCCGGU